AUGUUACACGGGAUGAAGGGAUCCUCUGAGCCAGGCAGCUCCUGGGGGUGCAAACAUCCCUGCACUUCAUACCAGCUUUGCUUCUGCCGCUGGCUCCUGCUCCGCAGCCUGAGGAUCAGUGGCUGGGCUCUUCUGCGGGGAGGCUGCUGGCGCGGGGGGCUCCGACACCUCUCCGCUCGCUGCCGGCAGGCCCUGGGGGAAAUCACGUUGGUCAGGGGCACGGCAGCACCACGAGAGCCACGUGGCCACGAAAUGCGGGUCAGCACCGUGUGCUGGAGGCAAAAACCCACCUCAUCCACCUGCCCCCCGCUCUGCACGCUGUCUUUGCAGGCGCUAGCUGGCUGGGGAGCGUCGGGGUGCUGCGGCUCCUCCUUGCCUCCUGGCUGGCUCUGCUGGGGGCAGGACUGGGAGGACUUGGAGGACGCGUGCUUCCCUGCGGAGCGAGAAGCACAACGGGACCGAAUCCACCAAAUCCUAACCCUUGCCACGGAGAUGCUGCUGGCUGCGCACACCGUGGCAGCGCCCUGGGCAUCCCCAGGCAGGCGCCGUCGUGGCAGCACGAACCUUUGGAGAGCUGGGGAGAGGCCGGGCCGUGGUACGCCGACGUCUCUUGCUGGACAUGGCGAAGGAGUCGGCAGCGUUUCUGGCGCAGGCCACGAGAGCGCCAGGGCGGGCAGCCUUCCUGGAAGGCUCCUUGCUCCCUGCAGGGUUAAAGACAGCCCCCGUGGGAAAUUUAGGCUGGCGGGGAUCUCUGGUGCAACCUCCCACCCGGAGCAGGGUCAGCGUCACUGCUGCAUCGCCCUGGAGCAGUAUUUACCCCGCCUGCUGCCCCUAGCCCUCCGCUGCGCGCCACAGCUGAGCCUGGCCUCGUUUGUGCGUGCUGGGCAGCCCCCUCGUCCCCAGGGGGGCCACCCCGUGGGAGCUGCGCUCAGCCCGGACCCGCAGCCUGGUGCGGGAUCCGUCCCCUUCUCCAGCCUGUGCCCCCUGCCCUCGGUGCGGGCACCCACCAUGGGAAGUCGGCGGGGUGCUGCUCCUCUCUGGAGAACUCAGACCAGGCGAAGCAGCCCGGGGCAAACAGCGGCGGCACCUGCGGGGAGCGGCAGAUUUAGGCACCGAUCCCGGGGCACCGCGCCUGGCACAGCCACGGCCCCGCCAGCCCUCCCCAGCCCGCCUCCCCUCACCCCCUCACCGGGUACGAGUCCUCGGUAA
ensembl:lncRNA